GGCCAACCCCGCCUCCUUUCCACCCGCCAUAGCUGGCCCUUCGCCCCAUCCCACAAAUGCCAUGGCCAUGAAAAAGGCACUGUAAUGGGCCUCAUUUAACAGCUCCCUGUCAAAGGUAAUCGUGCUCUGAAAAAUUGCCAUGGCCCUACCAUGCCCAUCCCUUAGCUAGCUUGAAAGGCUUAAUCUCGACUCCAACCCAGAUUCCACCCGACUACAAGAAAAGGACAUUAGAAAAAAUAUACUCAGCAG
rnacentral:misc_RNA from 1 species